rnacentral:lncRNA from 1 species
UUUAUCUUUAAAUGAAUUAAGUUCUUUGUAACAACAACCAACUACUAUAGCUACGAUUCGGGACUAGCCAUUUUUAUUGAUUACCAAAUUGUAAAUUAAUGUCCAUCUGAAUUUUACUGCAGCUAAAGAAAACGGUUACCAUUAUUUCGAUUGAUUAGAAAACGACUUUUAACCAUCUCAAAAAAAAAAAAAUAUCAAAAAUAAUUUACAAAAGAGAUGGAUACAUUGGAUAUGGAUUCACAUUCUCUUGUCUUUUCUUGCUCUUUUUACAGAACCAAUAUUUAUUGUAUUGUCUAAACCGUUAAAAUAUUUACCACGUCAGGUAAGAAAAAA